rnacentral:rRNA from 1 species
UGCGAAGGGUGCAAGCGUUACUCGGAAUUACUGGGCGUAAAGCGUGCGUAGGUGGUGAGUUAAGUCUGUCGUGAAAGCCCCGGGCUCAACCUGGGAAUGGCGAUGGAUACUGGCUCGCUAGAGUGCGGUAGAGGAGAGUGGAAUUCCCGGUGUAGCAGUGAAAUGCGUAGAGAUCGGGAGGAACAUCAGUUGCGAAGGCGGCUUUCUGGACGAUAACUGACGCUGAGACGCGAAAGCGUGGGGAGCAAACAGG